rnacentral:rRNA from 1 species
CACGUAGGGCGCAAGCGUUGUCCGGAAUCAUUGGGCGUAAAGCGCGUGUAGGCGGUUUCGUAAGUCUGCUGUGAAAGUCGGAGGCUCACCUUCGAAAGCCGGUGGAUACUGUGAGACUUGAGUACGGAAGAGGAGAGUGGAACUCCGAGUGUAGAGGUGAAUUCGUAGAUAUUCGAGGAACACCAGUGCGAGGCGGCUCACUGUCCGUACUGACGCUGACGGUGCGAAAGCGUGGGGAGCAACAGGG